AACGCUAGCUACAGGCUUAACACAUGCAAGUCGCGGGGCAGCAUUUUCUUGGCUUGCCAAGGAAGAUGGCGACCGGCGCACGGGUGAGUAACGCGUAUCCAACCUGCCCACCACUUGGGGAUAACCUUGCGAAAGUAAGACUAAUACCCAAUGACGUCUCUAGAAGACAUCUGAAAGGGAUUAAAGAUUUAUCGGUGAUGGAUGGGGAUGCGUCUGAUUAGCUUGUCGGCGGGGUAACGGCCCACCGAGCCGACGAUCGGUAGGGGUUCUGAGAGGAAGGUCCCCCACAUUGGAACUGAGACACGGUCCAAACUCCUACGGGAGGCAGCAGUGAGGAAUAUUGGUCAAUGGGCGAGAGCCUGAACCAGCCAAGUAGCGUGCAGGAAGACGGCCCUAUGGGUUGUAAACUGCUUUUAUAAGGGAAUAAAGUGAGCCUCGUGAGGCUUUUUGCAUGUACCUUAUGAAUAAGGACCGGCUAAUUCCGUGCCAGCAGCCGCGGUAAUACGGAAGGUCCGGGCGUUAUCCGGAUUUAUUGGGUUUAAAGGGAGCGUAGGCCGGAGAUUAAGCGUGUUGUGAAAUGUAGGCGCUCAACGUCUGCACUGCAGCGCGAACUGGUUUCCUUGAGUACGCACAAAGUGGGCGGAAUUCGUGGUGUAGCGGUGAAAUGCUUAGAUAUCACGAAGAACUCCGAUUG
rnacentral:rRNA from 1 species